rnacentral:tRNA from 1 species
AGUGGUUAAAUGUUUGGCUGCUAACCAAAAGGUUGGCAGUUUGAAUCCACCAACCACUA